AUUUUCUGAUUCCUACCACUUCUAUAUUCUUAUUUCAUUAUUUUUUUCUAAAUGUAAUGGGAUAAUUUGUUGGUCUUGCAGUUUUGUUAGCCUUAAUUGGAUAUUUAAUAUCAGACCAUUUACUUACUGCUGGAUGUCUUUCAGCACUGUCUAAAUCAAAUAGAAAAUAUAUUUUGCCACCACUUUUUCUCUCCCUCAGGGCCUUGUAACACUGAUACAAGGAUUUUGGCUUCUCGAUCACCAUGAUUAUGAAGAGUCUAUGUACUUAUCCGAAGAAGGCCGGUCUUCAACUUUUACAGAAAUCACUUGCCCACCUCUGCCAUCAAGAAACAAUGCAAGUAGCACCGUGGCUCCAGAUGCGAAUUAUUCAAUCGCUCGUUUGCCAAGGACAGCAUAGGCAAGCACUCAAGUACCUACAGCGUAUGAAGCCAUCAGUGUCAACCUGUAGCGAAGUGCAGCUUUGCAUCACUGUGUUGUUGUCUGAUAGCAACAUACCGCAGAGUUAAACAGAGAAGAGCUCUUAGAACACAUGUACGAAAGCUGCCAGGAGAUGGGACUAGUGGAAGAAUUCCUGAAGCUUCCUUUCACCAACACUAACUAGAGUGCAUGAAGUCCUUCUUACGGACCAGGGCUUGUAUUCCAGCCAACGAAGUUCUUCCAGUCCGCAACCAACAGAGUGCCUGCUAUUGGCCAGCAGUCCAGCAGAAUCAACCAAUGAAGGUUAAUCUCGCGAGCUACAGAACCACCAGCCAAGAGACGUCCUCCCUCGAAUGUGGAGUUGUGUAAUACAUUUCUUACGACACCAGCUACAAAAUGGUCAUGACAAUGUCUGACAUGGAGUAGAGUUUUAGAAUUAAUAAAAAUGUUGUUUCUCCUACA